GCAGAGCAUCCUACGGGAGGCAGCAGUGGGGAAUAUUGCACAAUGGGCGCAAGCCUGAUGCAGCCAUGCCGCGUGUAUGAAGAAGGCCUUCGGGUUGUAAAAUACUUUCAGCAGUGAGGAAGGUGGAUAUGUUAAUAGCAUAUUCAUUUGACGUUUAGCUGCAGAAGAAGCACCGGCUAACUCCGUGCCAGCAGCCGCGGUAAUACGGAGGGUGCGAGCGUUAAUCGGAAUUACUGGGCGUAAAGCGCAUGCAGGUGGUUUGUUAAGUCAGAUGUGAAAGCCCGGGGCUCAACCUCGGAAUUGCAUUUGAAACUGGCAAACUAGAGUACUGUAGAGGGGGUAGAAUUUCAGGUGUAGCGGUGAAAUGCGUAGAGAUCUGAAGGAAUACCGGUGGCGAAGGCGGCCCCCUGGACAGAUACUGACACUCAGAUGCGAAAGCGUGGGGAGCAAACAGGAUUAGAUACCCUGGUAG
rnacentral:rRNA from 1 species